rnacentral:rRNA from 1 species
UACGUAGGGUGCAAGCGUUAAUCGGAAUUACUGGGCGUAAAGCGUGCGCAGGCGGCUUUGCAAGACAGAUGUGAAAUCCCCGGGCUCAACCUGGGAACUGCAUUUGUGACUGCAUGGCUGGAGUGCGGCAGAGGGGGAUGGAAUUCCGCGUGUAGCAGUGAAAUGCGUAGAUAUGCAGAGGAACACCGAUGGCGAAGGCAAUCCCCUGGGCCUGCACUGACGCUCAUGCACGAAAGCGUGGGGAGCAAACAGG